UGGAAGUUGAGCAGGGCUCCCUGUCCCUGCUCUGUCCUCUGCUCACUGUGCCUUCCUGAAGCCUGAUUCCCCUUCAAUUCAGCCAGGGAGACCAGGGCUCUCUGGGUUGCAGUUUCCAGAUUGUAGGCCCCAGGGCUGUCCCUGUAGCCAGGCAACACUGAUACGAUUUAAGCUGGUUUGAUCACCCAAAAAACAACAAAUGCGCCAGCUGAUUCCAUUUCUCCAGUCUUAGAGCAGGAAAUGUCUGCCGUUACCAGGCAACGGCUGGGUGUGCAUCGUCUGAGGCAGGAGCCCGUCCGCACCGCCCCUCUCAUCCCCCACCCCUAACCCACGGAGGUGCUGACCUGCGGCUGAGCAGGCCACGUCCCUGGACAUGAGCCAAGCAUGUGGGCUGCAGGCUGGGCAGUGUCUCUUCUCCCCCUGCACUUCUCUCCACUCGGAGCAGAGCGCCACCCCUUGUGGUCCCUGGGGAGGCAUGUCCCCACAUUGUGCAUUUCUUACUGACCUUUAUGGAGAGCUGCAGCUUGCAGAGCCAGGAUCCUUUGGAGGCCGGCAGAGGUCAAGUGGAGCCCGUCUGGGAGGGCUGCUGCUCCUCCUGCUUGGAUUCCUGUUCCCUUGCCUGUCAUGGCCGCCAUCUUGUCUAGCAGAUUGUAGGGCUAACAGCCCCCUUCCAUGAGCUCUUCCACCAUCCACCCAUUGCGUCUUCCUGGGGACAUGUCUGAUGA
rnacentral:lncRNA from 1 species